AUUGAACGCUGGCGGCAGGCUUAACACAUGCAAGUCGAGCGGGGGAGGUUGCUUCGGUAACUGACCUAGCGGCGGACGGGUGAGUAAUGCUUAGGAAUCUGCCUAUUAGUGGGGGACAACAUCUCGAAAGGGAUGCUAAUACCGCAUACGUCCUACGGGAGAAAGCAGGGGACCUUCGGGCCUUGCGCUAAUAGAUGAGCCUAAGUCGGAUUAGCUAGUUGGGGGGGUAAAGGCCUACCAAGGCGACGAUCUGUAGCGGGUCUGAGAGGAUGAUCGGCCAGACUGGGACUGGUACACGGCCCAGACUCCUACGGGAGGCAGCAGUGGGGAGUAUUGGACAAUGGGGGGAACCCUGAUCCAGCCAUGCCGCGUGUGUGAAGGAGGCCUUCGGGUUGUAAAGCACUUUCAGUAGGGAGGAAGCGUUGUGUGUUAAUAGUACACAGCGUUGACGUUACCUACAGAAGAAGCACCGGCUAACUCUGUGCCAGCCGCCGCAGUAACAC
rnacentral:rRNA from 1 species